rnacentral:tRNA from 1 species
GGGGGUAUAGCUCAGUUGGUAGAGCGUUGCAAUGGCAUUGCAAAGGCCAGCGGUUCGACUCCGCUUACCUCCACCA